rnacentral:tRNA from 1 species
UGAAAACGAUAGGAUUUGAACC